rfam:Equus caballus cont2.6336, whole genome shotgun sequence.
UCCACGCCCCCCCAACCCCCCCCAACCCCCCCGUCAAGCCUUUGGCAUCAUUAUCCUCAUCACUAAAUCCUACAGAGUACUGGGCGGAAAACGGUGCACAC